GCAUUGAUAGUGUAGGGGUAUCAUGAGUCGUUGCCACUCAUCGCUCGUCUAAAGUGCGACUACCGAUUCGACUCGACCGGGGUUCGAGUCCCCGUCAAUGCA
rnacentral:tRNA from 1 species